UCCCUGGUGGCUCAGAUGGUAAAGUGUCUGCCUAUAAGGCAGGAGACCUGGGUUCAAUCCCUGGGUUGGGAU
rfam:TPA: Bos taurus chromosome 3, whole genome shotgun sequence.